AGAUGAUAAAAUGGGAGAUGCAGAAUUUGACAUCAGGCCAUUUCUAGAGGCUCUGAAGAUGAACUUAAGUGGCCUCCCAGGUGGCACCAUUAUCACUAGAAUACAACCGUGCAGAUCUAACUGCCUGUCCGAAGAGUCUAAUGUUGUAUGGCAAGAUGGUCAGGUUGUGCAGGAUAUGUGCCUAAGAUUGAGAAAUGUGGAAUGUGGAGAGAUCGAACUUCAACUUCAGUGGAUCAACCUUCCUGGUUCCAGGGGUUUAUAGAAUGCAGUGUGUAUACAUACAUCUGAUUGCAGUAAGCUGCAGUCUAUGAACUGCUUUGUGAAUUGUGCUCUCACAAUUGAUCUCUAGUCGUGAUCAACGGAAUUUGUUAUAUUUGCACACUGAACCAAUCUGUUGUGCAAGGUUUUUCUAGCCUAUCGUAUAUUUGGUUUGAAUAUUCUUUUCAAAUUUUCUUGUAUCACUGUAGUUAUAUGGUAUGUAAUCA
rnacentral:misc_RNA from 1 species